AGCAGUUCCACCAACUGGGAUCCAAGCAUUCAAAUAUAUGAGCCUAUGGGGGCCAUUCUUACUCAAACCACCACAGAGGGGAAGGAGGAAAACACGGAACUCGAAGAGCUGCAGUGAGCGCCCAAAGACUGUGGGAUGGAGACUCUGGACGAGCAGGCAUCUGAAGUCACCUGCAGAGGCUCAGGACACCGGGAAGCCACUUUGGUUUGGACCUUAUCCUGUUGGGGGAAGCAAGGGAGGCUGGAGGUGAGACUGAUGGCCGACAGGCCAAGAGGAAAAGAGGACCUCCACAACCUUGUUCCAUGUCCUGGCUCCAGCCUCCCCUCCAACACCAGGACAGAAUGAUGGGAAAACUGAGGCAGAGACUGGCCAGCCCACUUGUGGCAAGUCGCACUGCUGUCACUGGGAGCCAGAAAUCUGGUCUACUCCAAAUGGUGGCGCUGAAGGAGCUCCGCACAUGAGGACCGUGCUGCAGUUUUCUUCAGAUGAUUUAAAGCCUCGAGGCAGCCAUCCCAGCCCCACAAAAGCCAGGCUGAGACUGGAGUCCCCAUUGGUCCCAUAAAUAGAAACCAGAACUGAUCUGGUUGGCUUUGCUGCAGGCUGCCACCCAGCACAGCCACCUCCCAAGGAGUGCUGUGGCUUUUAGAGAGGAGGAAAAUCAGGCCAGGUGGGGAUCUUCCCACCCACAGCCUGGAGCCCUGGAAGCCUUUGCAGAAAUCCAAGGGCACAGGAGAAAGGGUCACCUCAUUAAAAGACUUAAACGAUAAACACAGGACACGCCGACAUAGCCCUUUGGAAGGGUGACUAGGAACACUGCCUUUUGCAUUGUAAACUUGUACUUGUGGAAGGACAGAAGGAGGAGCAGGAGGAGGAGUGACCAUGAGUGAGGAGGACACAGAGACAGUCAGGGACAGAGGAAAAUGGCCACGAUGGGUGCGGGCCACCCACUCAAGGAAAAGACAGAUGUGGAGGGAGACGGCCGUAAAACCAAUGGCUGUGUGCCGUGGAAGGAAGCCACCGAAGUACAUUCUCUAGGCCUCCUGCCACAGAAACUCAUUUUAGGGAAUCCCAGAAAGCCGCUUUAAAUGUACCUUUCAACCUCAUGCAGAUUUACCAGAUUCACCACUUGCCAGAAUCCCAAAAAGAAAGAGUCAAAACCUUAUCCCUGACGCAAGCCUUUCUCCCUCAAAGUACAAGUCUCUGGAUUUGAAAAAGGGUAACAAAUGCAUUUACAGGUCAUUAUGAGGCAGUGUUUCAAUUCUCGUCUCUAGCUUGGCCUGACGUAUUUUUGAACUCUCCCAGCCUCCUUGCGUUCCGUGGCAGGAGCCCAUAUUUCUCUGCGGGGGCUGGUGGGUGCUGUGCCUCAUUCUGCAAAGACGGUACAUUUCACAGGUGGGCUGGCCAGCUCUGCAGUCUUUUAGGGUGCUGUGACGGGAGACUUCAAAAGGCUGCUAGCUCUUUGAAGUUGCAGGGCAUCUUUGAACACCAAACUACGUCUGCUUCAGGGUUAUCGCAGGUUUGACCCCAAGAUAGAGGGCAGAAGAAGGUUAGCUGGGAGGGUCUGGGACCAAAUCUAUAUCUUCUCCUAUCCCCCCUUCUUCCCUUUCUCCCCUGCCCUUGCUCUCCUCUCCCUCUUCCCCUCUUCUCCUCUUGUCUCUGACAAGAUUCUCAGGGGUUCACUCUGUAGCCCAGGCUGCCUUGAACUUGUAAUUCUCCUGCCUCUUCCCUUUGAGUAUAGAGAUUGCAGAUGAAUUUCACUAUUCCUGGCUCAGAAGCAAAUCCUGAUGUGAGCAUAGGAAGCAGAACCAGAUGCCAGGAUGAGGGACAAGAUGGCAGCUAAGAGGUUUCAGUAGAUACUUAUGUCCAGUAGCCCAGAAAGAAGUCCUAUUCUGGGACAGGAAGGUCCAACCUUUGUGCCCUAUGGGACCAGCUAUGGAGUGAACUUUUUGUCUACAGGAAGAAUCCAACAUGGAACCAGAUAGUGGUUGGGUGGGCUCCAACCCUUGGGCAGUGGGGGCAAAGAGUUCUGUUCUGGGAAGGGAAGCCGGGGUGGCAGAGCACACAGUCUUGGCCAUGGGGUUGGCUCACAGGGUGGAGGGCAGACUCUUCCCUCCCAGUGUACAUUUUCUGUCCAUCACUCUCCAGGUGGGAUGCCGGUGUGUGUGUGUGUGUGUGUGUGUGUGUGUGUGUGUGUGUGUGUGUGUGUGUGUCCUUGCAUCUGAAUAAGCCCUG